GAGACCCAUGAUGAGGUCUGGUGGCGUCUGAGUAUGUCUCGAUGACAGCCAUGUGAACAGAUAGCUGAGGUCAGG